UACGUAGGGUGCAAGCGUUGUCCGGAAUUAUUGGGCGUAAAGAGCUCGUAGGCGGUCUGUCGCGUCGGCUGUGAAAACCCGGGGCUCAACCCCGGGCCUGCAGUCGAUACGGGCAGACUAGAGUGCGGUAGGGGAGACUGGAAUUCCUGGUGUAGCGGUGAAAUGCGUAGAUAUCAGGAGGAACACCUGUGGCGAAAGCGGCUCACUGGACCAUAACUGACGCUGAUGCACGAAAGCUAGGGGAGCAAACAGG
rnacentral:rRNA from 1 species